UUACGGCCAUAUCACGUUGUGGUGCCGGUUCCCGUCCGACCACCGAAAUUAAGCAACGUCGAGCCUGGUCAGUACCUAGAUGGGUGACCGGUCAGGAAUACCAAGUG